rnacentral:rRNA from 1 species
AGUGAACGCUGGCGGCGUGCUUAACACAUGCAAGUCGAACGAGAACGGUCCUAGCUUGCUAGGAUGUCAGCUAAGUGGCGGACGGGUGAGUAAUGUAUAGUUAAUCUGCCCUUCAGAGGGGGAUAACUACUGGAAACGGUAGCUAAUACCCCAUAUACCUUCUAGUGUAAUGCUAGAUGGGAAAUGUCUUUUCGCUGAAGGAUGAGACUAUAUGGUAUCAGGUAGUUGGUAGGGUAAGAGCCUACCAAGCCUAUGACGCCUAGCUGGUCUGAGAGGAUGAUCAGCCACACUGGAACUGAGACACGGUCCAGACUCCUACGGGAGGCAGCAGUGGGGAAUAUUGCACAAUGGGGGAAACCCUGAUGCAGCAACGCCGCGUGGAGGAUGACACAUUUCGGUGCGUAAACUCCUUUUAUAUGGGAAGAUAAUGACGGUACCAUAUGAAUAAGCACCGGCUAACUCCGUGCCAGCAGCCGCGGUAAUACGGAGGGUGCAAGCGUUACUCGGAAUCACUGGGCGUAAAGCGCGCGCAGGCGGCUAUUUAAGUUGGAUGUGAAAGCCUACGGCUCAACCGUAGAACUGCAUCCAAAACUAUUUAGCUAGAGUGUGGGAGAGGAAGAUGGAAUUAGUUGUGUAGGGGUAAAAUCCGUAGAGAUAACUAGGAAUACCAAAAGCGGAAGGCAAUCUUCUGGAACACUACUGACGCUGAGGCGCGAAAGCGUGGGGGAGCAAACAGGGAUUAGAUACCCUGGUAGUCCACGCAGUAAACGAUGAAUGUUAGUCGUCGGGGACCUAGUGUCUUCGUGAUGCACUAACGCAUUAAACAUUCCGCCUGGGGAGUACGGUCGCAAGAUAAAACUCAAAGGAAUAGACGGGGACCCGCACAAGUGGUGGAGCAUGGUGGUU